GCUUGUCUCAAAGAUUAAGCCAUGCAUGUCUCAGUAUAAGCUUGUGCAUAGUGAAACUGCGAACGGCUCAUUAUAACAGUUAUAAUUUGUUUGGUGUUCAAGUUUACAUGGGUAACUGUGGCAAUUCUAGAGCUAAUACAUGCUGGUGUGCCUGACUUUUCGGAAGGGCGGUAUUUAUUAGAUAACGAACCAAUAUUCCUCUGGUCUAUUGUGGUGAAUCAUAAUAACUGAUCGAAUCGCAAAGCCUUUGGCUGCGAUAUGUCAUUCAAGUUUCUGCCCCAUCAGCUUUCGAUGGUAGUGUAUUGGACUACCAUGGCUUUUACGGGUAACGGAGAAUUAGGGUUCGAUUCCGGAGAGGGAGCCUGAGAAACGGCUACCACAUCUAAGGAAGGCAGCAGG
rnacentral:rRNA from 1 species